rnacentral:rRNA from 1 species
CCUACGGGAGGCAGCAGUGGGGAAUAUUGGACAAUGGGGGGAACCCUGAUCCAGCGACGCCGCGUGAGUGAAGAAGUAUUUCGGUAUGUAAAGCUCUAUCAGCAGGGAAGAAAAUGACGGUACCUGGCUAAGAAGCCCCGGCUAAAUACGUGCCAGCAGCCGCGGUAAUACGUAGGGCGCAAGCGUUAUCCGGAUUUACGGGGUGUAAAGGGUGCGGAGACGGUGGAGCAAGUCUGAUGUUAAAGGUCGGAGCGCAACCCCGGGACUGCAUAGGAAACUGUUGAACGAGAGUACAGGAGAGGUAAGCGGAAUUCCUAGUGUAGCGGUGAAAUGCGUAGAUAUUAGUAGGAACACCAGUGGCGAAGGCGGCUUACUGGACUGUAACUGACGUUGAGGCUCGAAAGCGUGGGGAGCAAACAGGAUUAGAUACCCCAGUAGUC